rnacentral:rRNA from 1 species
UACGUAGGUGGCAAGCGUUAUCCGGAUUUAUUGGGUUUAAAGGGAGCGUAGGCGGUUUUGUAAGUCAGUGGUGAAAGACGGUCGCUCAACGAUCACAUUGCCAUUGAUACUGCAAGGCUAGAGUACAGUAGAGGUGGGCGGAAUUUAUGGUGUAGCGGUGAAAUGCAUAGAUACCAUAAAGAACACCGAUUGCGUAGGCAGCUCACUGGACUGUAACUGACGCUGAGGCUCGAAAGUGUGGGUAUCAAACAGG